rnacentral:rRNA from 1 species
AGUGAACGCUGGCGGUAGGCCUAACACAUGCAAGUCGAACGGCAGCACAGUAAGAGCUUGCUCUUACGGGUGGCGAGUGGCGGACGGGUGAGGAAUACAUCGGAAUCUACUUUUUCGUGGGGGAUAACGUAGGGAAACUUACGCUAAUACCGCAUACGACCUACGGGUGAAAGCAGGGGAUCUUCGGACCUUGCGCGAUUGAAUGAGCCGAUGUCGGAUUAGCUAGUUGGCGGGGUAAAGGCCCACCAAGGCGACGAUCCGUAGCUGGUCUGAGAGGAUGAUCAGCCACACUGGAACUGAGACACGGUCCAGACUCCUACGGGAGGCAGCAGUGGGGAAUAUUGGACAAUGGGCGCAAGCCUGAUCCAGCCAUACCGCGUGGGUGAAGAAGGCCUUCGGGUUGUAAAGCCCUUUUGUUGGGAAAGAAAAGCAGCAGGUUAAUACCCCGCUGUUCUGACGGAACCCAAAGAAUAAGCACCGGCGAACUUCGU